rnacentral:tRNA from 1 species
GUGCCCUUAGCUCAGUUGGUAGAGCAACGGACUUUUAAUCCGUAGGUCCAGGGUUCGAGCCCCUGAGGGCACACCA